GAUGAACGCUGGCGGCGUGCUUAACACAUGCAAGUCGAACGAAGCACCUUGAUUCGAUUCUUCGGAUGAAGAUCUUGGUGACUGAGUGGCGGACGGGUGAGUAACGCGUGGGUAACCUGCCUCAUACAGGGGGAUAACAGUUAGAAAUGACUGCUAAUACCGCAUAAGACCACAGCACCGCAUGGUGCAGGGGUAAAAACUCCGGUGGUAUGAGAUGGACCCGCGUCUGAUUAGGUAGUUGGUGGGGUAACGGCCUACCAAGCCGACGAUCAGUAGCCGAACUGAGAGGGUGACCGGCCACAUUGGGACUGAGACACGGCCCAAACUCCUACGGGAGGCAGCAGUGGGGAAUAUUGCACAAUGGGGGAAACCCUGAUGCAGCGACGCCGCGUGAGCGAUGAAGUAUUUCGGUAUGUAAAGCUCUAUCAGCAGGGAAGAAAAUGACGGUACCUGACUAAGAAGCACCGGCUAAAUACGUG
rnacentral:rRNA from 1 species